GACAGAGGGUGCAAACGUUGCUCGGAAUCACUGGGCGUAAAGGGCGCGUAGGCGGGAAUGUAAGUCGGGCGUGAAAUCCCCAGGCUCAACCUGGAAACUGCACUCGAAACUGCGUUUCUUGAGUAUCGGAGAGGAAAGCGGAAUUCCUGGUGUAGAGGUGAAAUUCGUAGAUAUCAGGAGGAACACCAGUGGCGAAGGCGGCUUUCUGGACGGUAACUGACGCUGAGGCGCGAAAGCAUGGGGAGCGAACAGG
rnacentral:rRNA from 1 species